rnacentral:tRNA from 1 species
AUUGGGGUAGUCUAAUUAGACAUUUGAUUUCGACUCAAAAGAACUUACCUAUAAGCCCCAAUA